AGUAAACUUGGAAAGCACAACACCGAAAAGAUCUUGCCUUGAACUCAGUCAGGACUCCAUUUUCACUGUGGACUCCCAGAUUGCUUUCUGCCAUAAGCACAACCAGCAUUAUACCAACAGCUUUCUUUAGUGACCUUAAGUCAGUUGGUGCUGAAGGUAUCAGUGAAAAACGACUUCCCUGCAAAGCAGAUAUGUUCCUCCCAGCUCCUACAGAGAUACAAAAACUGAACAGAGCAUGAUGGCAAGAAAAAGGAAAGAUGGAAAGGCAGAGGGGAAGGCAAAGGUGAAAGCUCAAGAGAAGACAUCCUCGCUUCUCUCUGCAUCUUUUCUUUCCUGAACCUUCACUUUCCCCCCACCCCUUUCAACACUUCAUUAUUCACAAGUCCCACUUGUGCUUUUAUCAUCCCUUGGUACCAUUAUCUUUGAAGAGAUGAGGAAAAUUUAUAUCUGCAGGUCCACUAAUUUAUGGUCAAAAAUGCUUCUGUACAAAGUUUCUCUAUUUGCACAUUAAUAGAUAUGUAUGCACA